GGAGUGCACAAGUAGUAUACAGCGAAAUAUUUAAAAUGAGAACAUGCUAUUUUGUUUUUCGUGAAGCAUUAUGAACUUUAAUUCUGAUUGCUCGGCAAAUUCGAAGCUGGAAAAGAAGCGAACUUAACAAAACCUAGGAGUUGGCCAAGAAUUAAUCUGACCAAAGCAAAAACAAUGGGCAAACAACAAAUUGUCAGGCACGAAAUACCAAUUGUACUCAUAUAAGGGUGUAUAUGUUAUAGCCAUAGUGAAGUUCGGAUUGGCUAAAACAAGAAUUGUUUCUUUUUCAUGCAAGAACUCAAUUCAAGCUUUCUAGCUACAAGCUAUGGCCAAUAUAUCAAAAAAGUGUAUGCAACUUACUUUUUGACCCAGCCUACUCUGAUAAAUGUAUACAACAUUUUGAAAG